UUUGAAACAAUUGGGGAAGUUUAGAUGAUAGCAAGAAAUUAUUGUUAAUUCUAGGUUGAUGUUAAUUAGGUUUAUUACAGCAUUAUGGUCAUGAAAGAAAAUGUUCGUAGCUUUUACAGAUGCAUACCGAAUUAUGGAAGGUUGUCGGCCAUGGUCUCACCCUCCAGGAGCCUAUAUUCCAGUUGUGAAGAGAUAACAUAUACACAUGAUACUGCUAUAAAUGCCAGAAUGAGUGAUAAAGUUGGAAAAUGUCAUAUGAGUUCAGCAAAGGGGAGCUCUAUAAGGGCUGGAAGGCAGAACUUAUGGCUUUGAGCUGGUGGCUUUGAGGAGAAGUUUCUCAAAGGGAAGGCACAUCCCUUGAUACAUGAUGGUGAGGUCCUAAUCUGACGUGGAGAAGCUGGAGCACUGAAACAACAAACUGCUUAAUAAGCUCGCUGGACUUUUAAGUGUUCCUCUUGGAAAUAAAGAGACAUUGUAGGAGCUGAGUGCCCAACAUCAAACAGUGGGCUCUGGGAAGAGAUGAGGGGGCACUGAAGAUGGUAGGUCUGGGGUUCAAGAAGGGCCAUGAGAAACUUCCUGGGGAAAGGAUGAUGGUGGCAUUUUAAAGAACAGUGGUGUUUGAUUUUCUAUUUUUAAAUAGUUUCUCUUCUCCAUUAUCUCGUGUCCCUUUACACAAUGUCCAACCCUUCCAUGAGUCUGUGGUAUACCAUAGCUGUGUGUGAGGGAAAUUUGGGGGAAGAAUGGCAAUGAGAUACUGCUCAGUGUGGGGUGUCAAACGGACAGGUAGUAACCACAGGGGUUGUGAGUGGCCAGUGGGAACAGGCUAGAGUGGAGAGAAGGCUGGAGCGUGGGCCACCUCAGGAAUGAAUGUGAGCUGAUCUCUUUUCCUCAUAGACCCUAGAGGAAGGUGACCCUGAUAGAGAGCUGGGAGAGGGAAGCUAGCUCUUACAGGGAAAGGAACUGCACUGGCAGGAAACACUGAGUUCUCAGGUUACAGAUGAAAAAAAUCUUAUUCCCUGGUUUGCACAAGAACUCCCUCUGCAUACACACACACACACACACACACACACACACCCAUUCCUAUAUCUUGGCUUCCUGUUGUUACUGUGUGACGGUGAGUCAAUGCUGACUCAUAGCAACUUUAUAGAACAGGCUAAAACUGCCCCAUAGGGUUUCCAAGGCUGAAAUCUUUACAAAGCAGAUAGCUAGGUCUUUUCUCCCACAAAGCUGCUGGUGGAUUUGAACCAGUGACCUUUUGGUUAAUAGCCAAAUACUUAACCAUCGAGCCACUGAAGCUCCUUUUGGCUUCCCUAAAGCUCUAUUUAUCUUCCAUUACAGCAUUUCUCAGAGUAUGUUAUAUUAUUCCUGGUAUACGCAUAUGUUUUUAUAAUUAUACCUGUGAACUUUUCUUUUGUAUCCUUGUGCCAAUGAAGUGGCUGGUGUGUGUUAAGAAAUGUUUGUUGAAAGAAUACUUAAGUGAAUAACUGAUUGCUGUACAUAUUUGUUAACAAGAUUGCACUAUGAUUCACUCAGCAAAAUCAGGGCUCAUUUAUUAUCAAAAAGCUGAGGCCAGUUUUGUUCCCACCUUUUACCAUCACCCUGAACCAUUUAGAUGAACCCUAGGCUUCAAGCAGCAUUACCUCCGUGGUGACCCACACUGGGAUCUGCAACACUCCUCCGUGUGGACGGACUGGCGUGGGCAGGUCGCUCUCACUAUGCCGGGCAAAGCUGGCCCAGCUGCACUGCCCAAUAUAGAGGCCAGCUUAUCUCCACAAGUCGCAAUGAGCUGGUGAGUAGGCUGAGUGGAGAGGCUUGGCCUUGGAGUAAUUUGCUAAGUGCCCGGAAGCCUGCCAACC